GAAAAAUUGUUCCAUCCAUUCUUCUUUUGUUUUUCUUCUUUUUCUUAUGAAAGAGACAGUAAUUUAUUGAAACACCAAAAGUAUGUAAAAAUUGCCGGACAAAUUAAAACCUUUGGCCACAAUCAAGUCGGCCUAGGCUUUACAGUCACCAUUGUUUAAAUUAUUGCAUCUCCUAUUUAUUGUGGUUAGUCCUUUUCUGCUUUUUUGCUUUCCGUUCAAUCUCCAUUCACUUGGUGCUUAUUGCCUUGUCUUUGUCUCUCUCUCUCAUUAUCUCCCUCAGAUUUUUGUUCAUAGUGUUUAUUGCCUGCUAGGGUUUUCUUCCCUUCCAAAAACUUCUACAAAAAUCCAAUACCUUUUUAUAAUCCUUUCCUAUAUAGCUCUAUAAUGGUGCGAUCUCCUUAAUCUUAGGAGAAGCAACCGACAAAGCUUGAAAUAUUUGGCACUACCAAGAAUAAGAGGUGGAAUGUCGGAUAAAAUCUUCGUAAUAAGUGUUGGAGAGUAAGCAAUUAGAUGUCUUCUUCAAGCAGCUACUCAAACCCUCCAUGCGCUGCCUGCAAAUUCUUGAGAAGAAAAUGCUUGCCAAGUUGCAUUUUUGCUCCUUAUUUCCCUCCAGAGGAGCCAAUAAAGUUCACAACCGUACACAAAGUAUUUGGUGCCAGCAAUGUAAGUAAGCUUCUGAAUGAAAUCCAACCACAUCAGAGAGAAGAUGCAGUCAAUUCUCUCGCUUAUGAAGCCGAGGCGCGAUUAAAAGAUCCAGUCUAUGGGUGUGUUGGAGCAAUUUCAGUUCUUCAAAAGCAAGUUAUUCGCCUCCAAAAAGAACUCGAUGCCACAAAUGCUGACUUAAUGCGAUACGCCAAUUAUGAAUCUGGAGGAGGAACAGGUACUCUAAUUGGUCUAACAUAUGGAAUGUUUGGUCAUAGAUAUUCUUCUGCGUGGAAUAGUCGUAUUAAUUCAGGAGAUUAUAACAAUGGCAUUGAUGGUGAUAGUGGCAGGUGAGGAAGUUCCAGCAUCACUGAGGAAAAUGACAAGCUAUCAAUAUUCUAGCUUGUUAUAGCUAGAUAUUGUUAGUAGGUAUACUAUUUGUUAAUAUUAUUACCUUUGUUUCCCGGAUUGGAAAUUAACGUUUAAAACAGUCCUAUCAAUUUGGUGGAUUAUUGAGUUUGUGUAUAUGUCUAUGUAUAUAUAUAUGCGAAUUCUUAUUUUGCACUUUAUAUAGUCUUUUUUGGGAUCAA